rnacentral:rRNA from 1 species
UACGGGGGGGGCAAGCGCUGUUCGGAAUUACUGGGCGUAAAGGGCUCGUAGGUGGCCAACUAAGUCAGACGUGAAAUCCCUCGGCUUAACCGGGGAACUGCGUCUGAUACUGGAUGGCUAGAGAUUGGGAGAGGGAUGCGGAAUUCCAGGUGUAGCGGUGAAAUGCGUAGAUAUCUGGAGGAACACCGGUGGCGAAGGCGGCAUCCUGGACCAACACUGACGCUGAGGAGCGAAAGCCAGGGGAGCAAACGGG